rnacentral:rRNA from 1 species
UACGUAGGGUGCGAGCGUUAAUCGGAAUUACUGGGCGUAAAGGGUGUGUAGGCGGUUAUUUAAGUUUGGUGUGAAAUCUCCCGGCUCAACCGGGAGGGUGCGCCGAAUACUGAAUGACUUGGAGUGCGGGAGAGGAAAGUGGAAUUCCUGGUGUAGCGGUGAAAUGCGUAGAUAUCAGGAGGAACACCGGUGGUGUAGACGGCUUUCUGGACCGUAACUGACGCUGAGACACGAAAGCGUGGGUAGCAAACAGG